rnacentral:lncRNA from 1 species
UUUCUGUCAGAGACACAGAAGGCAAACAGCAUCUGCUUCAUUAUUAAUUGCUUAAUAACAUUUGGUCUUUUAAUUUGCCUGGGGAUAAGAGAGAAUCCAGGUCACCAGGUCAGAACAAAGCUGUUGGCUGAAAGCUGCAGAGAUUGAUCUCCAUAGGCUCCCAGAUGCCCUGGAGUUUUGUAUAUUUUGCUUCAGGGCAAGAGACAUCUUUCCCAACUCCCCUUGUGUCUUUCUCUCCAUGGUAACAGCUGUGACUGUAAGGCCAACACAGAUCCUUGUGGGUGCAGCCAGACUCCUCACAAGGCUUCUCAUGAUGACCUCUGCCCUAGGUUUGGGAAAUUAAACAGAGACUGGGUCAAGGUUAAGGCCCAUUAGGGUCAGCAGAGCUGACAAAGAAGGCCUUGGCUAUAGAGGAAGGGGUUCUUUUGGCCACCAUUCUUUGUGAGUUGUUUUUGGGGGCCUUUUGAAACCAUUUCCUGUGUAGUCUAUUUUGGACUUGAGUUUCUAUAGCAAUAGAGAAUCCUCAACUUUGUUUUCUGACAGAGCCCAUCAUGUCUAGACCAUGAUUCUGUUUCUCAUGUAGCCCACGUAGGUUAAAGGUGCUGUUUUGUUAAGUGCUUUGCCUGUUUUGGUUUUUCCAGCAUUUCUGGAACAGGAACCUAAAACCAGCUGGGGAUUUCUUUGAGACUGAUGACCUUGAAAAAACUGUGAAAUUCUUUCCCAAACUGAGAUGGGAGUGUUUCCCUGGAUAAAUAUAGCAGGGCCUCUACUUUUUUCCAGAUCGUGCUCAGAGAGUCUUUGUGUUAUAGUAGGAACUCCAUGUUUUAGACUUGCCUGUAUCUUGUGUGGUACCAUGAAUUAAAAAAAAAGCAGCUUUAUUGAAAUAUACACACCAUACAAUUCACCCAUUUAAAGUACACAAAUAACUUUUAGUAUGUUCACAGAAUUGUGCAACAUUACUGCAAAUCACUUUUAGAACAUUUUCAUUACUUCCAAAACAAAGCUGGCAUUCUUUGGCCAUUAACCACCAAUCUCCAUAUAUAUAUAUAGGAUUUUCAAAUUCUGGACAUUUUAUAUAAGUGGAAUCAUAUAUGUGCUCUUUUGUAACUAACUGUUUUCACUUAGCAUGAUGUUUUUAAGGUUCAACUAUGUUAU